rnacentral:rRNA from 1 species
UUCCGGUUGAUCCUGCCAGAGGUUACUGCUAUCGGUGUUCGCCUAAGCCAUGCGAGUCAUAUGUAGCAAUACAUGGCGUACUGCUCAGUAACACGUGGAUAACCUGCCCUUGGGACCGGCAUAACCCCGGGAAACUGGGGAUAAUUCCGGAUAACGCAUAUUUGCUGGAAUGCUUUAUGCGUCAAAAGGAUUCGUCUGCCCAAGGAUGGGUCCGCGGCCUAUCAGGUAGUAGUGGGUGUAAUGUACCUACUAGCCAGCGACGGGUACGGGUUGUGAGAGCAAGAGCCCGGAGAUGGAUUCUGAGACAUGAAUCCAGGCCCUACGGGGCGCAGCAGGCGCGAAAACUUUACAAUGCGGGAAACCGUGAUAAGGGGACACCGAGUGCCAGCAUCAUAUGCUGGCUGUCCGGAUGUGUAAAAUACAUCCGUUAGCAAGGGCCGGGCAAGACCGGUGCCAGCCGCCGCGGUAACACCGGCGGCCCGAGUGGUGAUCGUGAUUAUUGGGUCUAAAGGGUCCGUAGCUGGUUUGGUCAGUCCUCCGGGAAAUCUGAUAGCUUAACUAUUAGGCUUUCGGGGGAUACUGCCAGACUUGGAACCGGGAGAGGUAAGAGGUACUACAGGGGUAGGAGUGAAAUCUUGUAAUCCCUGUGGGACCACCUGUGGCGAAGGCGUCUUACCAGAACGGGUUCGACGGUGAGGGACGAAAGCUGGGGGCACGAACCGGAUUAGAUACCCGGGUAGUCCCAGCCGUAAACGAUGCUCGCUAGGUGUCAGGCAUGGCGCGACCGUGUCUGGUGCCGCAGGGAAGCCGUGAAGCGAGCCACCUGGGAAGUACGGCCGCAAGGCUGAAACUUAAAGGAAUUGGCGGGGGAGCACAACAACGGGUGGAGCCUGCGGUUUAAUUGGAUUCAACGCCGGG